GUGCAUACCAUCCCAUACCAUCAAACACAAUCUGCACAGUAACUGAGCGAAACUUUUCCAUUUGCAUAAAAAAUAAUAAUUUCUGAUUAAUUUAAUUUUAACAGUUCUAAAUUAAAACAAAACAAAUAACCUUUCAUGAAAUGUGUCGUGGUUGUAAGUGAAUGUAAACAGUCUGCAAAAGCUGAAAGUGAACCGUAACUCAGGUUAUUGCCUUUCAAAAGAAAGAGUAGACUUUGAGUAGCUGGAACGAGUUUGAAUCCCUUAGGUGUAGGCCCAGCUGGUGCAACCUCUUGUAUAUUGUUGUAGUAAAUCCUCUGUACAAUUUUUUUGCUACUUCACCUUAAAUUACAUCUCACAUUUUUUACAGUAUUUAUGUCUUUCAAAGUAUAAAGCCAUGAGUGUGUUAAUGCAUAACAAAAUUGUUAAUGUGUUUAUUUUGGUCUUAUAGGAAGAGGUGUUUUUGCACUUGAACACAUUAAACCAUCCACAUUUGUUGUGGAAUAUCGUGGAGUACUGUCUCAAAGUAAAUAUGUUGAUGACAUUCAAGGCAACUACUUGUUUGAUUUCACAUGGAAUGGAGCACAUUAUUGCAUAGAUGCUUCAAAAGAGGAUGGAUCGCUAGGACGACUGGUGAACGAUGAUCACAAAAAUCCAAACUGCAAAGCCAAGACGGUUGUUGUUGAGGGAAAGCCACACCUGUGUCUAUUUAGUCUAAGAGACAUUUGUCCAGAUGAAGAAAUUACUUACAAUUAUGGGGAUUCCUCUUGGCCCUGGCGUUCAGUAGAAUUGUGUGAUGAGAUAUCGGUUGCCGUUGAUGAAUCCAUUGAGGGUCCUUCCUCAUCAGGAAAAGAGAAAGUAAGUGAGCAUAUUUUCUUUCUUGACACUGACUUGAUAUUAGUUGUUGGAGUUUGGGGAAUCAUGACAGGCUGUUUUACUAGGAUACCAAACUUUUGUGUAAAUUAAGAAAAUGGUGGCAAGAUGAAGAGCUAUCUAGGCACAUCAUCUCUAUGUAAAGAUGAGGGGUAACUUGUCACACCUAAUCUAGACAAUACCCUCUUUGAUGUCUACUGAUUUUCAUAUGUUGUGUGUUUGGGGGGGAUGGGCACGACACCGACCUGAAAUAUAAGGACAGUGUUCCUCUAUGAGGACGGUCACACACCCUAUGAUGUCCAUGGAUUUUCAUAUGUUGUUUGUGUUUGGGGGGGAUGGGCACGACACCGACCUGAAAUAUAAGGACAGUGUUCCUCUAUGAGGACGCUCACACACCCUAUGAUGUCCAUGGAUUUUCAUAUGUUGUUUGUAUUUGGGGGGAUGGGCACGACACCGACCUGAAAUAUAAGGACAGUGUUCCUCUAUGAGGACUUACUUAAGGGCAACACUGUCAUGACUGCAACUUUCUUAAAACUGAUUCCAAAAGAUCCCUGGCAAAGAUCACAUUUAUAAAAACGUUUUUGCCGUGGAAAAGUGCUCCAUGUCAGGGUCUGAGCAGAUGCACGCACUUUUGUUUGAUUUCUGCAGGUUUUUGGAAAUAUAAGCUAUUCUUGCUGCUUUAAUAAAGGAUUUUAACAUUGACAGGCGCUCUUUUAUAUGUCAAUGACAUUAAUUGGGCACCAUUUAAAGAUGGAGAUCUGAAACUGCUGAGCUGUGCACAAGUUCAAGAUCAUUUGCGAUUUAAAGAUUUUACAUCUGAAAGGGAGGGGUAUGCGUGUUUUCUGUGCGUAUGGUUGUUCUAUAAAUCACACAUACACAUUUUUGAGAAAUAUUAUUAUUAUUUUUAUUAUUAUUAUUAUUAUUAUUAUUAUUAAUACUUUUAUUUUAUUUAUAAUACUAUAUUUUUUUUAUAAAGCACUUUUCAUAAAAGAACCUCAAAGUGCUACAGAGACCAUAUUAAACUAGGACAAGUUAAAAGCGCCUGCCUGAACAAAACAGUUUUAAGCUCUUUUUUAAAAUGUCCACCGACUGGGGUUUUCGCAAAUGUUCAGGGAGAGAGUUCCAGAUGGGAGGGGCGGCCGAGCGUGAUCGGGAAAUGAUCGCAACAUUUUAUAAAUGAGGCCACAGAUGUUCUGUGCUGUAGCUUGUGCUGUAUGAAGCCGAUACGAAUCACUUUGUUACCAUUGUGUCCAUUGUCCACAGAACUAAAUCAAUUUUCUAUUCAUCCAAGUGCAAAAUGACAGUGGGGGGUUUGGCAGGUAAUAUAAUUGGUGAAUUAUCGAAUUCUGACCAGUGACAACAGAUAUUUAGAUUUUGGUUGUUCUUGUAGGAAUUAUUAUGGUGAUCACUUGGCAAACAUUGUUACUGAAUGUUGUUCUUGUCUUUCUCA